rfam:Schistosoma mattheei strain Denwood, Zambia genome assembly, scaffold: SMTD_scaffold0002997
AUCCAGCUGACGAGUCUCAAAUAGGAUGAAGUGGUGCACGUCCUGGAU